CAAUGGCGUACAUUAAAGUUGUUGCAGUUAAAAAGCUCGUAGUUGGAUUUGUGGAUUUUGCGAGUCGGUCGCACUAAUUGUGUGCACAUGAUUCGUAGGUCCAUCCUUGGGUGGAAUCUGUGUGGCAUUAGGUUGUCGUGCAGGGGAUGCCCAUCGUUUACUGUGAAAAAAUUAGAGUGUUCAAAGCAGGCUUAUGCCGUUGAAUAUAUUAGCAUGGAAUAAUAAGAUAGGACCUUGGUGCUAUUUUGUUGGUUUGCGCACCGAGGUAAUGAUUAAUAGGGACAGUUGGGGGUAUUCGUAUUCCAUUGUCAGAGGUGAAAUUCUUGGAUUUUUGGAAGACGAACUACUGCGAAAGCAUUUACCAAGGAUGUUUUCAUUAA
rnacentral:rRNA from 1 species